CAUUCCGGAAAUUUGGGUUAAUUACGCGAUGUUCUAAUUUUACUCUAAUUCUUCGCCAUGAAAGAUCUGUUUUAAAUGAAUAUUUUAAAUAGAGAAAUAUAGAAUUUUUUUUUGUGGAUUUAUUCCUGUAUGCAGUGUACGAGCUUCAGUCUGAAGGAUGCCAUCAGAUCACCGCAAGGUGAAUGGGGGCCUGAGUGAUAGACCGAGAACCUUUCAUCUCACCCAGUGAGUGUAAAUAGCUGUCAUGUUUGAUUGGCGGUUUGACGUGCACGUGAUGCCCUGGAAGAGGGGAAGAAAUUCAGUGAGGACGCAGUGCAUGAUGGUUUCUCUGUCUGCAAACUAAAGAGGUUGUUUGUGCCAGCAGAAACCAUUCAUGAAAGAUGCACCCCUGAGGCUUACAGAGGUAUACUCCAUCAUCUGCUAAGCAGGGCCGCGGGAGACUGCAGGGCAGCUCCUUAAUUGAGCUGAGGUAGAUUUACUUCCCCAUCAUAUUCGCGGCUCCAUUGUUUACAGUCCUUGAAACUGAUUGAAAGGAAUCAAAAGAUUCAUGGAGAUGUGAUUCAGUACAGAACAUGUUUGGUAUGCAGGAGGAAUGACUAAAGGAGGAUGAUUCUUGCUGGUCAGGCUGGUUCCGGAGGGGCAAAUAAGAGCUGCUUCAAUGACAGUCUAAUUGUAGCCCACAUUCCCUCCAUGGUCUCUGGGGAGGGUUGCUGCUGGUCCACAAAGCUCUCAGGCCAUGCUAAGUCCCCGGAUGCUUCCACGGGUCUGCCGCUUCCAUCCUGCUGUAGGCUCAGUGAAGAAGGUGUUGACCCUGGUGACCUGAGCCUGCUUCCAUUGGGUAAUAGGAAAUGGCACUGACCCCUCCUGAUCCCCCCGAUUACCUUCGUGAAGCGUGAAUGUGGUAUGGAAUCACACAUCAGGAGACGAGUUGUAAUUAUUUCUGCGAUGCCAUCAGCAUGGAUCAAUCACUCAGGGAGGCUGCGAGUGGAACGCCGCUCGCAGCCAUAGAUGGAGCCAGCAGCGACCAUCUUUGACUGACAGCUUUGGUAAUUAAGUGAUUGUAUAGACCCCUCCGACUGUUAUAACAACCUUGUCAGGGCCAGCCUGUGUUUGGAACACACUCAAAUCAAUGUGUUCUCCACUCCCUAAGCAUUUCUGAUCAUGUACCUCAGACAGAAGAACUCUUUGCAUUGACGCUGCUUUCCUUUAAUAAUUGACAUGGCAGUAAAAGAGAUUUUAAAACACAAAAUAUAUAAUAUAAAAAAUAUACUUAACAUUACCAUUUUAUCAUAUUUUUUUCUCAUAGGAGGCCAAAAAAUUGCAAAUUUCAAGCCCGCUAACGCUUGAUGAAUAAAAGUAGAUUUUACUCUCUUCCUUGUAUCAAUCUUUGAAUUUCAUGGCAUAUAAUAACUCUAACGGGCACUUCAAAUCUGAACUUGAAUGUCACAUGUUUCGUUAUUGAGUGAUGUGUAGAAGUUGAAAUAAUAUACAGUGUGUCCAUCUUAAAUGUCAGGCCACUUUAACGCUCCAACCUUUAAUUCCAGAGCUUCAAAGAUCUAAAUUACCAUUGAAAUUUGCUUCCCGUCGGCAUAUCAUCAUAUCUUUGCCUUAUUUCACCACAUAAAAUGAAAAAUGUUUGACAGCGGAGAACUAGGUUGUCCAUAUGGUCUCAAAGAGAAUAAUUGGUGUGAACAUUCGCACACAAUUCUUUUAGAUUGAUGUGCCAUUGAUAACUCAUCUAUUUAUUAUGUCAAACAGUCAAGAGUUCUUUCUGUUAUUUAGUCUGAACUUUUAAACUGGCAACUGGAGUAUCCAGGUCGAGUUAAAUCAAUAGUGGGUCCACACGGGUCAGAGUACUCAUAAGAGUAAUAUAAAUGGUGAAUAACUGGCUUAUAACGAGGCUAAACGCAUAGAAGGAUAUUUUAAGGCUUUAUUAACUAUCUGUUAUAUAUCAUUUAGAAUGUCUAAGUAUUUAUUUGUCAUUGUUUUUUAUCAUGUUUAUUUAAUGAAAAAACUCAAUUUACUGAUGUCAUUAGAUGUGGCUGAAAAUCACAGAAAAAAGCCUAAAAAUGACCUUUGAGUUAAGUUUUUUUAAAUGAUUUGUUUGUGUAAAACAGCUUUUAUGACAUAUGUUGUCAUGCAUAUGAUGUAAUGUGUGGUUAUAGAGAACCCUCACAUUAAAAAUGCCGUUGGUAUUUA